rnacentral:lncRNA from 1 species
AUGGGUUUCUGAAUGGGAGGAACAUGCUAAGCCAUUAAUACUGCAGGCAAGUCUCAGCAUUAAUUCCUAAUUGGUGUCGAAUUUCAUGAAGCUUCAGACUCUACUAGUUUCAUAUCACUAGAACUAGAAUGAUAGGAAAACUCAAGCUUCUUUUAGAAUCAAGGAAAAGAAGCAAGUGGGUAUGCAGCUCUUUGGUUUGCUGUGUGUGUGUAAUUCGAGUAAGCAUUGUGUAAUUGCAGGCUACCUCUGCAAACAGGAAAUGAUUUCCAGUUUGGAGCAGUUGGAAUUCAGAGUUAAAAUGAGUGGUUCAAAACUGCAAAUUGAGACAGACUUUUGCUCAUAUUGAUGCCUUUGUUUAUGGUAAGAAUAUAACUGUGAUGUUGACCCUCCUAUAGAAGUGUAGAGAAUUGGAAGACAGUCUCUCUAAACUCAAGAUUGUGAGUACUAACCAAGCUCCUUCAUUAGUUAACCCACUUCACUGGUUCAUUCGAGUUUGACCAUGAAAAGGCAAAUGAAUAGACAGUAAUAGAAUAUUAAUAAUUGAUGGCCAUGUUCCUUCAAUAGCAAGCUUUUGAUUUUAUGAAGCCCCAUCCAUCAUUAGUGCAAGUGGGAAACAUACACAGCUUUUGGUUAAUAAUAAUGGUUUUGAAGCUGAAAAUGGCAAAGUCGGUAACUGGCCUGGAGCCCACCGGCUAGCAACACACCCGCCAGUCACGGGUUUAACCUCUCUUUCUCUUUGUUUUUUCAAGUUCCCACUUUUGACCUUCUAUCAUCUCAGUUCAUAAAUGAUUACUUGAUAGCAAUCUACCUAAAGGCUUGACCUACAAACUG